CUCGAUAUAUUUACAAAUUCUCAUUACGUAAUAAUGCCGACCUUUGCUCCAUCAAUUUCACUGCAAGAAACCCUUUUUGCCUUUAUCAGCAAAUAUCGCUAUAAGCCUAAUUUCGCAACUUUUAUGCAAAGAAUCUAAUGCCGAUAAAGCGGUAUUAAAUCACUGCAGAAAAAAUAGAACAAAUUACAGAAAUACAAAACAAGCUACAGAAGCGGAAGUGGGAAGGUUUUUGUAUUUUGACUGUAACAGUUACAAAAUGAG